rnacentral:RNase_P_RNA from 1 species
UCCACAAAUCGCUUUGUCGCUUUUCGUAUUUAUAUGAGAGGAGGAAAGUCCGGACACCGUAGAGCAGCAUAGCGGGUAACGCCCGUCAUUUCGGAGCAAUCCGAAAGAGGACAAGUGCAACAGAAAGCAAGUACAGUUCGGCUGUAGUGAAACCAGGUAAACUCUAUGCGGUGCAAUGCCAUGUAUAUCGGCAGUUAAGGGCUGCUCGUCCGUUGCCGAGGGGUAGGCAGAUAGAUUUCGUUGGUAACAACGAAGCAAGAUAAAUGACAAAGUUCCGAUUUAUUUCGGGAACAGAAUCCGGCUUAUAGAUUUGUUUUAUAA